GACGAACGCUGGCGGCGUGCUUAACACAUGCAAGUCGAACGGAAAGGCCCUGCUUUUGUGGGGUGCUCGAGUGGCGAACGGGUGAGUAACACGUGAGUAACCUGCCCUUGACUUUGGGAUAACUUCAGGAAACUGGGGCUAAUACCGGAUAGGAGCUCCUGCUGCAUGGUGGGGGUUGGAAAGUUUCGGCGGUUGGGGAUGGACUCGCGGCUUAUCAGCUUGUUGGUGGGGUAGUGGCUUACCAAGGCUUUGACGGGUAGCCGGCCUGAGAGGGUGACCGGCCACAUUGGGACAGGGAUACGGCCCAGACUCCUACGGGAGGCAGCAGUGGGGAAUAUUGCACAAUGGGCGGAAGCCUGAUGCAGCAACGCCGCGUGCGGGAUGACGGCCUUCGGGUUGUAAACCGCUUUCGCCUGUGACGAAGCGUGAGUGACGGUAAUGGGUAAAGAAGCACCGGCUAACUACGUG
rnacentral:rRNA from 1 species